rnacentral:rRNA from 1 species
AUGAACGCUAGCGGCAGGCUUAACACAUGCAAGUCGAGGGGUAUAGUUCUUCGGAACUAGAGACCGGCGCACGGGUGCGUAACGCGUAUGCAAUCUACCUUUUACAGAGGGAUAGCCCAGAGAAAUUUGGAUUAAUACCUCAUAGUAUAACGACUCCGCAUGGAGAUGUUAUUAAAGUCACAACGGUAAAAGAUGAGCAUGCGUCCCAUUAGCUAGUUGGUAAGGUAACGGCUUACCAAGGCAACGAUGGGUAGGGGUCCUGAGAGGGAGAUCCCCCACACUGGUACUGAGACACGGACCAGACUCCUACGGGAGGCAGCAGUGAGGAAUAUUGGUCAAUGGGCGCAAGCCUGAACCAGCCAUGCCGCGUGCAGGAUGACGGUCCUAUGGAUUGUAAACUGCUUUUAUACAGGAAGAAACAACUCUACGUGUAGAGUCUUGACGGUACUGUAGGAAUAAGGAUCGGCUAACUCCGU